rnacentral:rRNA from 1 species
CCUACGGGUGGCAGCAGUGAGGAAUAUUGGUCAAUGGGCGGAAUCCUGAACCAGCCAAGCCGCGUGCAGGAUGACGGCUCUAUGGGUUGUAAACUUCUUUUGUAUCGGAGUAAAAUGCCUUACGUGUCGGGUUUUGUAAGUACGGUACGAAUCAGGAUCGCCUAACUCCGUGCCAGCAGCCGCGGUAAUCCGGAGGAUCCGAGCGUUAUCCGGAUUCAGUGGGUUUAAAGGGAGCGUAGGUGGUUGUAUAAGUCAGCGGUGAAAGACCGAGGCUCAACCGCAGGACUGCAGUUGAUACUGUAAGACUAGAGAGCAGUAGAGGCAGGCGGAAUUCGUAGUGUAGCGGUGAAAUGCAUAGAUAUUACGAAGAACACCGAUUGCGAAGGCAGCUUACUGGGCUGGAACUGACACUGAGGCACGAAAGCGUGGGGAUCAAACAGGAGUAGAUACCCUAGUAGUC